UGCCCCAUAGUCUGGGAUACCACUUGGAAACAGGUGCUAAUACCGGAUAAGAAAGCGGAUCGCAUGAUCAGCUUUUAAAAGGCGGCGUAAGCUGUCGCUAUGGGAUGGCCCCGCGGUGCAUUAGCUAGUUGGUAAGGUAAAGGCUUACCAAGGCGAUGAUGCAUAGCCGAGUUGAGAGACUGAUCGGCCACAUUGGGACUGAGACACGGCCCAAACUCCUACGGGAGGCAGCAGAG
rnacentral:rRNA from 1 species